rnacentral:rRNA from 1 species
AUUGAACGCUGGCGGCAGGCUUAACACAUGCAAGUCGAACGGUAACAGGAGAAAGCUUGCUUUCUUGCUGACGAGUGGCGGACGGGUGAGUAAUGCUUGGGAAUCUGGCUUAUGGAGGGGGAUAACGACGGGAAACUGUCGCUAAUACCGCGUAGUAUCGAGAGAUGAAAGUGCGGGACCGCAAGGCCGCAUGCCAUAGGAUGAGCCCAAGUGGGAUUAGGUAGUUGGUGGGGUAAAGGCCUACCAAGCCGACGAUCUCUAGCUGGUCUGAGAGGAUGACCAGCCACACCGGGACUGAGACACGGCCCGGACUCCUACGGGAGGCAGCAGUGGGGAAUAUUGCGCAAUGGGGGCAACCCUGACGCAGCCAUGCCGCGUGAAUGAAGAAGGCCUUCGGGUUGUAAAGUUCUUUCGGUAUUGAGGAAGGUUGUUGUGUUAAUAGCACGACAAAUUGACGUUAAAUACAGAAGAAGCACCGGCUAACUCCGUGCCAGCAGCCGCGGUAAUACGGAGGGUGCGAGCGUUAAUCGGAAUAACUGGGCGUAAAGGGCACGCAGGCGGACUUUUAAGUGAGGUGUGAAAUCCCCGGGCUUAACCUGGGAAUUGCAUUUCAGACUGGGAGUCUAGAGUACUUUAGGGAGGGGUAGAAUUCCACGUGUAGCGGUGAAAUGCGUAGAGAUGUGGAGGAAUACCGAAGCGAAGCAGCCCCUUGGGAAUGUACUGACGCUCAUGUGCGAAAGCGUGGGGAGCAAACAGG